rnacentral:rRNA from 1 species
GCAGUAGCCGCGGGAAUACGAAGGGGGCUAGCGUUGUUCGGAAUUACUGGGCGUAAAGCGCACGUAGGCGGAUAUUUAAGUCAGGGGUGAAAUCCCAGAGCUCAACUCUGGAACUGCCUUUGAUACUGGGUAUCUUGAGUAUGGAAGAGGUUAGUGGAAUUGCGAGUGUAGAGGUGAAAUUCGUAGAUAUUCGCAGGAACACCAGUGGCGAAGGCGGCUAACUGGUCCAUAACUGACGCUGAGGUGCGAAGGCGUGGGGAGCAAACAGGAUUAGAUACCCCCGUAGUCCCUGUCUCUUAUAC